UACGUAGGGUGCAAGCGUUGUCCGGAAUCAUUGGGCGUAAAGAGCAUGUAGGUGGAUCAAUUAGUCUGCUGUGAAAGUCAAAGGCUCAACCUUUGAAAGCCGGUGGAUACUGUUGAUCUAGAGUACGGAAGAGGCGAGUGGAAUUCCGUGGUGUAGCGGUGGAAUGCGCAGAUAUCAGGAGGAACACCAUAGGCGAAGGCAGCUCGCUGGGACGUACUGACAACCUGAGAAUGCGAAAGCGUGGGGAGCAAA
rnacentral:rRNA from 1 species